ensembl:snoRNA M03D4.78 ncRNA
GAGACUGUAAUGGGUUCCGAAAGGAUGAAAAUCCUCAAAGUUCCUGAUGUGGCCGCAUCAAAGCACAGGUCGGAUAUGAUUGUAGUGAGAUAUAAUAAAAAUCAUUUAAAGACAUAAAAAUAAACA